ACAGGGUUGAAGGUUGGACUGUUCUUAGGCCAGCCAGCCAGCCUAUAUCUGUUAAUUCAUGUUCAUUACUUUCAGAUGGCUAAAUCAAAUGCUGAGAGGCAAAGGGAAUACAGGGCGAGAAGAAACGCCGAUUCAGAGAGAAGGGAAGACUACCUAAGGAAAGAGAGAGAGAGAUGGAAAAGAGAUACAGAUGCAGGGAAAAAGAAAGCAAUCAGUGACCUGAGUGAGAGAGGUCAAAGACGUAAGCGUAAGGAGUGGUGGAAGGCUAAAGACAGACAGAAAAGGAGGGCUGAGAUUGAAAACAGUGGGCCUACCUCUCUAACCCCUCCACAAAGUCCCGACAGUGAGAUUCAAGAUGCAGUGCAAGCCAGACCAGGGUCCUCACGUCAUUCAGCAGGCAAGAAAGCAUCCAGAAAAACAAGAGACAAACUGCGCAAAGAAGACGAAGAACUAAAAAGGAAACUCAAACAUAAGAAGAAGCAGAAAGAAAAAUACAAGAAAAGACUCCAGCGAGCAACCAAGAAUAAAGACUCUCCCAGGUGCAAAGUCCGUCAGUUGCUGAGGAAUUGUAUUGUGAACAGCAAGUAACCAGAGAACCCAAUGUGCACCGAAUUCAGAGAAUCACCCAGCUGCCAUCAGCGAGGACCAUGAGCCAAACUGGCCAAAAUAUGAUAUGACGAUCAUCAGAACUUGUGACAACUACAAAGAUGCCUGUAGGAUUAUGGAGCAGUAUCAGACCGGCUGCAACACCUCUGAUCUACAGUCUGAGGCAGAGCAGGAGUGCGGGCCACCAGAUAAGAGACAAAGGAGGCCAGUCCAUCGUUUCGGAAACCCUGACCAGAGCGAAGAAGAUGUGGAAGAUAUAGUGUCUCAGUUGGAAGCACUACCAGUGCUUCCACGCCCAAGCCAAUUGCCCCGGCAGACUCCACUAUCUCGCCGAGUGCCAGGCAGUAGAUUCAGUCCUCCUCAACCUGGAGAAAAUUGUCCAGCACCUCACCAUGGGGCAGGACUGCAUCACCCUGCACCCGCUUUGAACAUGCAGAGAGUUACUCAAGUUGCUGUGAGGAAAAACGUGGUGACACGGUCAGCCACCGACGCGGAGGUCACCAAACACGCCAUCAGGUGGUUCAACCUGGCGUCGGAUCGAGCGGCGAGGAGACGUGUCCCUCCUCCAUCCACUCAUUUGACCCAAUGAAUAACAAUUAAACAAUCUUUUGAUUGAACUUCUUGUCGUUCACCAG
ensembl:lncRNA